rnacentral:rRNA from 1 species
GCCUACGGGGGGCAGCAGUGAGGAAUAUUGGUCAAUGGGCGAGAGCCUGAACCAGCCAAGUCGCGUGAGGGAAGACGGUCCUAUGGAUUGUAAACCUCUUUUGCCGGGGAGCAAAAAGCGGUACGUGUACCGCAUCGAGAGUACCCGGAGAAAAAGCAUCGGCUAACUCCGUGCCAGCAGCCGCGGUAAUACGGAGGAUGCGAGCGUUAUCCGGAUUUAUUGGGUUUAAAGGGUGCGCAGGCGGCGAGUUAAGUCAGCGGUAAAAUUUCGGGGCUCAACCCCGACGCGCCGUUGAAACUGGCUUG